AUUUUUGAAAAAAUAAUUUAUUUAAACUUAUUUUUGCAAAAUAACAUUGUUAUCCGGAAUGGGCCGUUUCGGAAGCAAUCUCAGACUUCAUAUUUGCUGGGUCGGCCAAUCAAGCAUCUUCCGAAAUGCACAUUCUGGAGUAACAAUACGUAUUGCGAUUUUGAUUUUCAAAUUCAUUUUCCGGAAUAUAUUCCGAUAAAUUCCGGAUCUAAAUUUACAAACACAUUCUAUCUUUUUGACUUGUAUUCCGAUCUCCAACACGCUCUCCGGCAUUCCAAUACACUCCAAUACGCAUUCCGAACUCCGACUUAAGAUAUGGACCACAAUCACAAUGACUCGGUUGUUUUACAGUUAUCACAGAUUCUUGAAACGAAGUAGAGGAAAUGGUUUUUAAGAUUGGGGGUUACGAACUAUCUUUCGGGGAGAAAAGAUUUUUGUCUUGUCAUCGGCUUCCACUUUGGUGUUUCCUGCCUCCGGUUCCAACACCGCCUUUCGUCCCUGUGUGUUUCCUAUGGUCAUGAGGAAUGUCCCUGUGAAAUUAGACAAUGUGAUGAGUGUGUUUAAACAUUUGGUUAAUGACUUAUUGGACAGGGAUGUGGUCCAUGUAUGUCUUCUAUAUCUGUUAGAGAAGGGUUACAAUGGACAGUUGGCUAAAGAGCAUGUGACAAAGGAGUAUUUUGUCUUGGUAUCCAACCUUGAUGAUUUCAACAGGUACUUCCGCAAGUAAAGGGAAGAGCUCGGGAUGAUGGCAUCGCACACACCAUAACUUCAGUCUUUUCCUGGGAGUUUGUUUUGAUUCAUAGUUUGAUUUGGCACAAAUGUUCAUGACAUUUUAUUAUGGGUUGAGAUAAUUGACACAUGGUUUUAUGAUGUGACGAUUGGAAUAUGAUUUUAUUAUUAUUUAAAACAAAAA